AAGGGAAUUAAUUAUUAUUAUUACAUCUAUCACAAUAGUACAUGCAUAGAAUAAAUACCACUGAAAUGGUUAUGUUUAACUUGCGUAGUCUAUUGUGCAGAAUGCUAACCUCAUUCAUUUAUUUGAAUGCAGGCUGAAAAUGCUGGCAAAAGUGGAAUAUGGGGAGUCCAAAAAUACAUUAAAGUUCCUCAAACUGAUGACAAUUUCCAUUUCCUCCAGUUUCUUCAAGAAGCGACGGACAAAUUUAGUCUGCAGGCUCAACAUCUAUCCGAGGGUGUGUUAGCCUUGACUGAUGCAUCAGAUACCGAGGUUGAUGCAGACACAUUUGAUGAGCUGAUAAAGUCAGGGGUCCGAAACUUCAAGGUUGGAUACCGCAAGUACCCAGUAACGGAGUUGGACAUUGAAUUGGUGGAAUACAAGGUUCGACAAUCAUCCUCCCAUCCACUAAAAACCGGAAGAGAGGCCUUGUAGAGCUGGAACGUAAUGAAGCAAGACGGAAAGUUGAUACUAUUCUGAGGUCCAACCCGAAAGGUGAAGAAAUCUUCAAAGAAUAUGACAAAACUAAGACGCUGUCAGACACAACACGCAGACAUAUGAUCAACAUUCUGGUUGCAGAAAUGACAGAUUCACAUGGGAGGAUUCCCCCCAGAAGUGUCAGGACUAGUUAUGCACUCGGAAUUGUGAACCUUUUCCCAUAUCUACAAGAUCCGUACUCAGAGCAUGGAUAUGCAAGUCUUUUUGAUAUCCAAAAACAGUUGUUUUCAUCAUCAAUCGAUAUUUCUGCCUUAUAUUUCUCAAUGUUUUGAUUGUGUGUGAACAGGAACAUUACUAUGACCCUGAGGCGAAUACUGGCUAUCUUGCUUAGAGACUCAAGACAGUCCAACGCAACACGCACGAUGGCCUCCGUGGGCAUUCCAGGCCCAAUCCCCAGGGCAGGCCAACAACCCAACGAGAAUCUUUGUUGAUUGCUGAACAGCUCAAGGAUGAGGAGUGCAGAGAGGCCGUGUCUGUAAUAAGACACUCCACAGAUGAAUCCGUGGUCAAAGAGAAGAUGAGAGCCACCUUCGAAUACAGACAGAAGCUGGUUCAUGACCAGGAUGCAACAUCUUCAGUCUUUGACGUCUUCCCUCGUUUCCUUGACAUACCCGGACUGAUUGACCAGGAUUUCUCACUGAUGUUUGGGGACGAAGUGUCUGGAAAGUUUCUUGCAAAGUGGCCUUCAUAUUUAAAGCCCAAAGUCAUCAGAGAAAGGCAGUCUUCCUUUCAGUCUUCAUGUUGAGGAACUGCGGGCAGGUUGCAACCCUGAGACUGAGAAUGAUCAUGGCUGGGAUAGUGAUAUGUCAGCUCUCCUGUUGCUGUUGCAUCUUCUGCCCCCUGCAUCAAGAGGCCAUAAGAAAACUGUCAAGAUCAGCUGCCGCACAGGCAGACGACCAUCUUGUUAGAUUUGUUAAGCAUGGAGCCAGCCUCACUACAUUCCUGGAGAAAGUUGAUGCCAGACAGCCUUUCCUCCUCUGCACUGGACAGCAAAAGAAGAAAGUCGAGAGAUUCUUCAUCGUUGUGGACAACAAACCGAUCCCAUGCAACGCCCUGACGUCGGUGGGUGCCUUUGAUGGGCUAUUCAAAGCUCAUUAUGUUUUCAGCCUCUUAUGAUGAAGCCCUCUUCGGUUUCUACACCUUCAUUCAAACCACAGUCUACAACAUAGAUGUUGGAAGCGCAAAGGAAACGCCACGAGUCAAGGAGCUGAGAGCACGACUGCUACGUGAGCCUUAAAUUCCCACCAUUGCACAAAGGUCAAGGAAUUGUUAAAAAAAAACUGUUCAGUGAUUAUGUUCACCUGUUUUGUUUGCAAAACACACCACAAAAAUUGUUCGCUUCUAUGUCAACAUUUAAAGUUCCAACACGGUUUAUACCCAGCCAAAAACCUACGUCUGAAGUGUGGAGAACAAGGAUGUCCUUCUUCUUUUUGUACAUACUAUGGCUUCAGGAAGCAUCUUAACAAUGGACACAGUCAUCACCAUGAUGAUUUUCAUGCAUACUGUAUAGAGGAGCAGAAUAAUGACAAUUCUCUGAUUUGCAUUGACCAGCUCACCUAUUUUAAACCCUUUGACAAGCAGUAUUCUAAUGAUGGUGAUCAUUGUUCCAUAUUGCCACAUGUUUUAAGAAGCAGUGUUUAUGUGGUGAAUGUUUUAAAUAAAUGUUUUUUGAAACUGAAAAUGACCUUGUA